UACGAAGGGGGGCGAGCGUUGUUCGGAAUCACUGGGCGUAAAGGGCGCGUAGGCGGCCCCUCCUAGUCGCGUGUGAAAGCCCCGGGCUCAACCUGGGAGGUGCGCGCGAAACGGGGGGGGCUUGAGUUCGGGAGAGGGUCGCGGAAUUCCCGGUGUAGAGGUGAAAUUCGUAGAUAUCGGGAGGAACACCAGUGGCGAAGGCGGCGACCUGGACGGACAUUGACGCUGAGACGCGAAAGCGU
rnacentral:rRNA from 1 species